rnacentral:rRNA from 1 species
UACGUAGGGUGCGAGCGUUGUCCGGAAUUACUGGGCGUAAAGAGCUCGUAGGUGGUUUGUCGCGUUGUUCGUGAAAACUCACAGCUCAACUGUGGGCGUGCGGGCGAUACGGGCAGACUGGAGUACUGCAGGGGAGACUGGAAUUCCUGGUGUAGCGGUGGAAUGCGCAGAUAUCGUAAGGAAGACCAGUGGCGAAGGCGGGUCUCUGGACAGGUUCCUGACGCUGACGGGCACGAAGGUCA